UCACUCGCCUAACCUCGACCACGGACUCCCUUAGGUCCCUAUCUACCAAGAUGUCCACUCCACUCUUACCUCUCACGACCCCAGAAUACCACAGCUUAAACCAUCUACAUUCCUCGCCUUCGACCCUUUCCACCUAGUCUCCUGGAACACACGCUAUGUUAACCCUCUUCCUCUGAAGAACCUUCGCCAACUCUAUGGACUUACCCGU
rnacentral:lncRNA from 1 species